AAGCGGGGACUUUACUAAUGGGAAUCUCUGCACAGGAGGCAGAACUGAUUGCCCUUAUGAGAGCCCUGUGGUUGUCCCAAGUACACAGGGCACUCGGAAUAAAUUGGGAGUCGCACUCAGCAUGGAGACCACAAUCCUCUGGACCGAUGGAAAGGAAAAAUCAAACCCUAAAAACAGUUCUUACCAAACCGUGUCAGGAAACUCAACUGAAAUGGAUUUAGGGCUUUGGCCUUGCACUGCUCCGGAUUAAUUGCAUGGCUGAGCAUGGGACACAUGUGAUAAACGUUCUACAUUCACUUAAAGAAAUGUGGAUUCUCCAGGUGUUUGGUACAGCAUUCCAUGUAUGUUCAGUAUGUGAAUAUUUAUAAUCCUGUAUAAAUUCAUGUAUUCUA